rnacentral:lncRNA from 1 species
UAAUUAGCAUAUAUAGCCAAGCUCACAAAAAUGCCCACCUUUUCUUUCUUCCUGAUCCUUCAACUCUGUUUCCUGGGCAAGUAACAAGUUAACGAUUUCAGCAUUCAAAGAAUUUUGCUGGCUUCCAGCGGGUGAAAAAAAGAGCCAGCGCUGGAGGGAAGAACUGUUUUGACACUGAACAGAGCCGACGUGGCUGUCCUGGCAGUAGCCAUCCUGUCUGCAUGCUUGUCCAAAAUGGAUACAUUUGGAUGACUGCGCUGAAAAAAGACUGAGAGCAAAAAUAAUUAAGGCUGCUGGCCCUCAGCGCAUCAGGAGCAGCAAGACACGCACCGUUUGCUGCUAGGAGCUAUAGAGAAGCAAAAAAAUCUCUGCAGCAACAAGGUCAGUGCCCCCAGUGCUUCCCUUUAUACCCCAGAGGCCAAACCUAAACAAAACCAGUUGCAUCUCAAUUCCCCUUGUGUAACUUUAAAUUCAAAACCUG